AUGGCAAAGUUAAUAAGGGCGCACGGUGGAUGCCUUGGCACUAAGAGCCGAUGAAGGACGUGACUAACGACGAUAUUCUAGGGGGAGCAGUAAGUACGCAUUGAUCCCUAGGUCUCCGAAUGGGGAAACCCAGCUGCUACUAGCAGUUAUUCAUGAGUGAAUACAUAGCUCAUGUAAAGGUAACGCAGAGAACUGAAACAUCUAAGUACCUGCAGGAAGAGAAAGUAAAAACGAUUUCGUAAGUAGCGGCGAGCGAACGCGAAGAAGGGCAAACCAAGAAGCUUGCUUCUUGGGGUUGUAGGACUGCAA
rnacentral:rRNA from 1 species